rnacentral:rRNA from 1 species
AGGAAUAUUGGUCAAUGGGCGCUAGCCUGAACCAGCCAAGUAGCGUGAAGGAUGACUGCCCUAUGGGUUGUAAACUUCUUUUAUAUGGGAAUAAAGUGCAGUAUGUAUACUGCUUUGCAUGUACCUUAUGAAUAAGGAUCGGCUAACUCCGUGCCAGCAGCCGCGGUAAUACGGAGGAUCCGAGCGUUAUCCGGAUUUAUUGGGUUUAAAGGGUGCGUAGGCGGUUACUUAAGUCAGCGGUCAAAUGGCGGGGCUCAACCCCGUCCAGCCGUUGAAACUGGGUAGCUUGAGUCGGCGAGAAGUACGCGGAAUGCGCGGUGUAGCGGUGAAAUGCAUAGAUAUCGCGCAGAACUCCGAUUGCGAAGGCAGCGUACCGGCGCCGCACUGACGCUGAGGCACGAAAGCGUGGGUAUCGAACAGG